rnacentral:sRNA from 1 species
GCUGGGCAUGGUGGCACAUGCCUGUAAUCCCAGUGGUUUGGGAGGCUGAGACAUGAGGAUCUCAAGUUCAAAGCCAGCCUUGGCAACAGUGAGGUGCUAAGCAACUCAAUGAGACCCUAUGUCUAAA